rnacentral:rRNA from 1 species
CACGUAGGGCGCAAGCGUUGUCCGGAAUUAUUGGGCGUAAAGAGCUCGUAGGCGGUCUGUUGCGUCCGCUGUGAAAACUCGGGGCUUAACCCCGAGCCUGCAGUGGAUACGGGCAGACUAGAGGUAGGUAGGGGAGAAUGGAAUUCCCGGUGUAGCGGUGAAAUGCGUAGAGAUCCGGAGGAACCCCAGAGGCGAAGGCGGCGUCCUGGCUCGCAUCUGACGCUCAGACACGACAGCAUGGGGAGCGAACGGG